rnacentral:lncRNA from 1 species
CGGAAGCAACUGUGAGGUAUAAGGUAUUUAUAAGAUAAUACAUGCAUGAUCACAAGACCAAUUUUUAUUAUCAUAUAGUCAGUUUGAGUGUUCAUAUUGAUUGGUUAGGAUACUUUUUUUUUUUUUUAUCAAACUCUUAGAUUAAGACUUAGGGAAAUGUUACACUCCACUAUGGGAGGACAAAGCUACAAAAGAGGAAACAAGGAGAGCAGUUAUAGCGAACGCAUCAGCUACACCAUUGUUUACACACGAAAUAAAAGAC